CAUCCACCUGCAACUAUUCGACACAUACCACUGUACCGCUUACAACUGUAUUGUAAACGUAACGAUGGGUGAACACGUCGACUUGUGGGAGAUCGGCAAGAGACCUACUUGACUCACAUUACGUACUUAAGGAAUCUCUGAACCGGAAAUCUAAAAUCAUGAACACUUCUGAAACAGAAAUGGAUGAAAUUCUAAAAUGUGGGAUUUGUCGUUCGGAAUUCAUAGACCCCAGGCAGCUUAUGUGUGGUCACGUAUUUUGUUUCAAAUGCAUUGAAACAGACUAUAAAACACGUGAUAGAAACAAUGGAAAAUGUCCAAUAUGUCGUACAGAAUAUUGGACAAGGCCAAAUAGGGCCAUAGAUUCUUUACCGAGAUGUCCCCUGCCGUUACGUCACAUUCUGUCUUUACGAGAACGCCGAGGCCAGUGCUGCGAGUAUAUCGGUUGUCAGGGAAAUCCUGCACAAGUAAUCUGCAUUAGGUGUCAUUUAUGGCUCUGCAGUGAUUGCAAGUCCAAGACUUGCAAGAAAAAUGGAGAUGAUAUUCAUGAGGCUUUUCAACAACAUGAACUAGAGUCUAGUUUGUUUGAUAUUGUCAUCAGAAGCAGACACAAAUCGUGCAGAGAACAUAUAAAUCAGGACGUGCAGUGGUACUGCCAUCACUGUAAGUUGUUAGCAUGUAAGUUGUGUAAAAUAAACUUUCAUGUGGGCCAUGUUCCAUUGGUGACUCUUGAAGCUAGAUCACGUGAAUGUCGCGAUUAUUUAGAGAUGGUGAUCACCUCAUUAAAAAAGAAACAGAAAGAGCACACGGAGAACAAAAGAACACUAACAGAACUUAGUUCGUGUUGUAAGGAAUUCGUCGAUGUGACACAUUGCCACACAUCUUUAGACCAUUGUAAUGUCGGAUUCGAUGAAUGUGAAAAUCUCAUACUUUUGAUUUCGAAAGUAUUGGAAAAUGGAUCCAUGAAGGUCGUCGUGGAAAUGUCUUCGAACUUGGAAGAACGGAUUACCACAGAACUAGGAAAAUGUCUACUACUUGAGAAAGUCCGAGAGGUUAUUGGAACUAAACAAGUACAGACAGAACUGGAAGUAGGCGACGAUGACAAAACACAGACAAACUCUAAUGCCUGUGAAAAUGAUGAUUCGUCGAUCAACCUUUGUGGUGAUACAUGUGAAUCCUCGCUCUGUGUGAUUCAAGACAGUGCCCACUGGAUGUGUUUGCACUGUAGGAAAUGGUUGUGUAUUUCCUGUAAGAUUGCUUCGUGUGGACGGGGAGGUCACAGCGAUAUAAAACACACAGCAGAAAAAGCAUCUGACAUCGACCCGGCUCUGUACGACAUUGUAAUAAGGAGUCGAAGUUCCUCGUGUCCAACACAUUCAAAUAACGACGUAGAUUCGUACUGUUGCCAAUGUCACGUGAUAGGCUGUGAAUUGUGUUGCUAUAGGCACGCCCAUCACAACGUAGUCACCAUCGCUAAAAGGUCAAGUGCAUGUAGGCUCAACAUAGAGGAAAAGAAGAAACAGCUGGGAAAUAUGAUAUCGGAAUAUUCAGUAACAAAAGACCGAGUGUCUAAAAUCAAAAGUAACUGUCAUUUUCAUAUAUUGAACUCUGCAUAUUUUGAAAGUGUAUACACCGAUUGCGUUUUAAGAUCUAAUAAAUGUGACAAUCUCAACAAAGUCCUACACUUUCUCCUCAACUAUGCUUCUGACAGGGUACUCGUUGAAACGUUUGAUGGGAUAGAAAAUGAACUAGAGGCGGAAUUACAAAAGAUACCUUCUGACAAUUUACUGGAAAUACAAAAAAUGUUCAAUUUCGGUAUUGAAACUCUGUCGGAGAAAGUACCUAAAUGACGUUACCUAGGUGGUAAGUUUCUCUCAGCGAGGACAAAAGAAAAUCAGUUCUAAGAAAUAUAAGAAAUGUCGGACCUGAUAGAUCAAAGAGAUGAAGAGAAACUUUUGGAGUGUGGUAUUUGCCUCAGUCGUCUAAAUGAUCCUAGAAAACUUGACUGCAGACACGCUUUCUGCUUCAUCUGCAUCAAGAACCACUACAAAGCCUGUGGAAAGCGAAUGGCGCCAUGUCCAAUAUGUCGGAAGCUGUAUCCAUCCCUGGAUGCCAAAGUUGAACAGCUACCUCAAUGCUCUAUCAACUUCCAUCAGCUCUUGGAUACGAGAAAUUCCAAACAUUCAUGUGAAUCAGAACUCUGUGGGACCAUCGAUGCCCCAUUUCUUUGUUUAAAAUGUAAGAAAUGGCUCUGUUUCAGGUGCAAAGAACAAAGUAAUGAAAUAUCUUCAUGUCAGAAUCAUGAAGCAUAUCGUAUAUCGGACAUUGACGCGAGGUUGUAUAACAUUGUAGUGCAAAGUAAACACAAAUCCUGUGUAGACCAUCCGGGAUACGACAUACAAUGGUUUUGUAGACAAUGUCACAUGUUAGGGUGUAACUAUUGUAAGACGCGGCAACCACUAGAUCAUACCCUUAUUGACGUGGACAAGAGGGCAACGGAGCUCCGAGAGCAGUUUUCUGAUGUAUGCCUCCUAUUGCAGACUAAGUCAGGGGAACACGAAAUCGCUCUCAAUUUUUUCCAUGAAAUUAGAGAAAAAUUUUCUCCUUUAGGAGUCUGCAACACAUCCUUCUGUGAAACGUCAGCCAAUGAACACAAAAAGGACGUCAUAGAAUGCAAAAGCCUCAUUCAUAUAAUGAAAUACCUCACGAACUACGCGUCUGACGAAGUGGUAGUAUCCAUAUACCUCAACAUGGAGGACCAAAUUGCCAGUGAACUCGAAAAACAUCCCCUGGAAGAGGUCGUUAACAUUCCACAUUGGCUUGCGGACUCUUCUAAAGCGAUGAUGUCGACCGAGGGACGUACAAGUAUAUUAAACAAACGGGAAAUACCGAAAAAUGACACAGACAUAUCGAAGAAAAUCAACUUGGCAUUCUAUUUCAACUUAAUGGCUAUAGUUCUACUUGUUACUAUCGUGUUGGUUUUCAUAGCCUGUGUAGGUAGUGUUAUCUAUUAUCGCAGUGACGUAUGGCAAGGAAUACAACACAGACUUUCUGUUUCGGCUAUUGAGUUUAUCCACACUAAACUAGAAGGAAUGCUACAAGAAGCAUUUAAGCCUGAACUAAUUUCCCAAUAUAGAAACAUUACAGAGGAAUUUGUUGCAAGAUACGACAAAUUCCAAAAUGACUCACUUGGCAAAUGGCUAGACUUCGUGAAGAUGACUAAAGAUGAAUACUGUCACAAAAGCAAAACAAAAACGUACAGUAAUUAUGGAGGGGAUUUCAGAUUUCAAUACAAACUUGACAUUUCUACCUUCUGUAAGUAACACAGGUUUUUACAGAUAUCUGUAAAGAGUCCGAUAUCCUUUGCGACUAAUCACAAGGGUUUACUGUGUGCCUACGUGAAUGAACUAACAAAUACGUUUUACCUAUAUAUUAACGGGUUAAACAUCAACUGUUACUGUAUCACGGUACCUUAUUUCAGCGGCAUCAUUAAGAUGGAAGAAUGCAUGUCUCCAAAAAUAUAUCUAAUGUGACCAGGCACCAGUUUCAGUAGUGAUCUUUAUCUUAAACAACAUUAAUUGAUUGAAAAUCAUUACAGAAUUUUAGAAAAUUUUCCUCACUAAGAUUGUUUACCUUAAGUUAAAUAGCGAGAAAUUUGGAAAAUUUAAGAUAAUGAAAUCACUGUAGGUAUGUAACAUUGAUAAAACUGGUUAAAACUGAUUUAAACAGAAUAUCAUUUAUUGCUGCUGGGACAAGUUUUCCCAUAAUUAUGAGGGUUUUGUUUUUAUCCCAACUACAUGUAUCAAAAUCUGGUGGCUGGAUCCUAGGACUACAUUUUUCAUUCUGAGUGAUAAAAACAUGUCUAGUGCCUAUUGGUCAUGCUGAUACAUGUGUAUAUAUAAAUAUUGAAUAAAUGAUUCGCGCGUGUUUUAAAAAACGCAAGAUAAAAAUGGUUUAAAAUGUUAUCUUGAAAGCUAAAAAUUGUGAUAACAUUGAUGUUUCACUUGUUGAGGUUUUAAUGUAAUGCCAUUUGAAAUGUAUUGAGCUUAUUAUAUUAAAAUAUAUGGAAAAAAUCAAAACGUUUUCGUAUUGUUGUUAUGAUAUCAGACAUGAUAAAACAA